CAGAUUUGACGCUGGCGGCAGGCUUAACACAUGCAAGUCGAGCGGAGAUAAGGUGCUUGCACCUUAUCUUAGCGGCGGACGGGUGAGUAAUGCUUAGGAAUCUGCCUAUUAGUGGGGGACAACAUUUCGAAAGGAAUGCUAAUACCGCAUACGCCCUACGGGGGAAAGCAGGGGAUCUUCGGACCUUGCGCUAAUAGAUGAGCCUAAGUCGGAUUAGCUAGUUGGUGGGGUAAAGGCCUACCAAGGCGACGAUCUGUAGCGGGUCUGAGAGGAUGAUCCGCCACACUGGGACUGAGACACGGCCCAGACUCCUACGGGAGGCAGCAGUGGGGAAUAUUGGACAAUGGGGGGAACCCUGAUCCAGCCAUGCCGCGUGUGUGAAGAAGGCCUUUUGGUUGUAAAGCACUUUAAGCGAGGAGGAGGAGCUCUAGAUUAAUACUCUAGAUGCUUGGACGUUACUCGCAGAAUAAGCACCGGCUAACUCUGUGCCAGCAGCCGCGGUAAUACAGAGGGUGCAAGCGUUAAUCGGAUUUACUGGGCGUAAAGCGUGCGUAGGUGGUCUUUUAAGUCGGAUGUGAAAUCCCUGAGCUUAACUUAGGAAUUGCAUUCGAUACUGGGAGACUAGAGUAUGGGAGAGGAUGGUAGAAUUCCAGGUGUAGCGGUGAAAUGCGUAGAGAUCUGGAGGAAUACCGAUGGCGAAGGCAGCCAUCUGGCCUAAUACUGACACUGAGGUACGAAAGCAUGGGGAGCAAACAGGAUUAGAUACCCUGGUAGUCCAUGCCGUAAACGAUGUCUACUAGCCGUUGGGGUCUUUGAGACUUUAGUGGCGCAGCUAACGCGAUAAGUAGACC
rnacentral:rRNA from 1 species